rnacentral:rRNA from 1 species
GCUAGGAUGAACGCUAGCGGCAGGCUUAACACAUGCAAGUCGAGGGGCAUCGGGAGUAGCAAUACUGCCGGCGACCGGCGCAAGGGUGCGUAACGCGUGAGCAACAUGCCCGUAUCAGGGGGGAUAGUCCAUGGAAACGUGGUCUAAUACCCCAUAGUAAUUAUGUAAGGCAUCUUAUAUAAUUUAAAGCUUUGGUGGAUACGGAUUGGCUCGCGUGACAUUAGCUGGAUGGUAAGGUAACGGCUUACCAUGGCUACGAUGUCUAGGGGUUCUGAGAGGAAGGUCCCCCACACUGGAACUGAGACACGGUCCAGACUCCUACGGGAGGCAGCAGUGAGGAAUAUUGGACAAUGGAUGGAAAUCUGAUCCAGCCAUGCCGCGUGCAAGGAAGACGGCCCUAUGGGUUGUAAACUGCUUUUGUAUGGGAGCAAUAAGGGCUACGUGUAGUCCGAUGAGAGUACCAUACGAAUAAGCACCGGCUAACUCCGUGCCAGCCGCCGC